AGAAACUUACAACAAAGAGUCCCUCCCGACUGUUUACCAAAAACACAGCACUCUGCUAACUCGUAAGAGGAUGUAUAGGGUGUGACGCCUGCCCGGUGCUCGAAGGUUAAUUGAUGGGGUUAGCAUUAGCGAAGCUCUUGAUCGAAGCCCGAGUAAACGGCGGCCGUAACUAUAACGGUCCUAAGGUAGCGAAAUUCCUUGUCGGUUAAAUACCGACCUGCAUGAAUGGCGUAACGAGAUGGGAGCUGUCUCAAAGAGGGAUCCAGUGAAAUUGUAGUGGAGGUGAAAAUUCCUCCUACCCGCGGCAAGACGGAAAGACCCCGUGGACCUUUACUACAGCUUGACACUGCUAUUUGGAUAAGAAUGUGCAGGAUAGGUGGGAGGCUUUGAGUAUAUGACGCCAGUUGUAUAGGAGCCAUUGUUGAGAUACCACUCUUUCUUAUUUGGGUAGCUAACCAGCUUGAGUUAUCCUCAAGUGGGACAAUGUCUGGUGGGUAGUUUGACUGGGGCGGUCGCCUCCCAAAUAAUAACGGAGGCUUACAAAGGUUGGCUCAGAACGGUUGGAAAUCGUUCAUAGAGUAUAAAGGUAUAAGCCAGCUUAACUGCAAGACAUACAAGUCAAGCAGAGACGAAAGUCGGUCUUAGUGAUCCGGUGGUUCUGUGUGGAAGGGCCAUCGCUCAAAGGAUAAAAGGUACCCCGGGGAUAACAGGCUGAUCUCCCCCAAGAGCUCACAUCGACGGGGAGGUUUGGCACCUCGAUGUCGGCUCAUCGCAUCCUGGGGCUGGAGCAGGUCCCAAGGGUAUGGCUGUUCGCCAUUUAAAGCGGUACGCGAGCUGGGUUCAGAACGUCGUGAGACAGUUCGGUCCCUAUCUGCCGUGGGCGUAAGAAGAUUGAAGAGAUUUGACCCUAGUACGAGAGGACCGGGUUGAACAAACCACUGGUGUAGCUGUUGUUCUGCCAAGAGCAUCGCAGCGUAGCUAAGUUUGGAAAGGAUAAACGCUGAAAGCAUCUAAGCGUGAAGCCAACUCUAAGAUGAAUCUUCUCUAAGCUCUCUAGAAGACUACUAGUUUGAUAGGCUGGGUGUGUAAUGGAUGAAAGUCCUUUAGCUGACCAGUACUAAUAGAGCGUUUGGCUUAUCUUUAAUAAAGCAU
rnacentral:rRNA from 1 species